AAAAAAACAUUAAAUGUUGGUAAAAAGCAGUGCAAGAAUAGCACUCGCAUAAACACAAAUGCAUUUACAUAUACGCGUCCCUUUUUUACUUUCUUAACAUUUAAAUAUAAAAAAAAAAAACAUUCACAUAAUAAACGUUUAAAUCAACAAAAAUAAAGUAAAUCAAUUUUAAAGUAAUUUUAAGUUUUAAAGUAAAUCAAUUUUAAAGUAAAUCAAUUUUAAAGUGAAUCAAUUUUAAAGUAAAUCAAUUUUAAAGUAAUUUAAUCUAAACAAACACAAUAAAAAUAUGUAAAUAAAGUAUGUAAGUAAAGCAUAAGCAAAAAAAGAAACGAAAAAAAAAAAAAAAAAAAACAAAAAAAAACAAAAAAAAACAAAAAAAAAGAACAAAAACAAAUGGUUAACACGUGUCCUUUUAAGCAGCUUGUUUUUUUUUUUUUUUUUAUUAAUUUUUUUAUUAAUUUUUUUAUUAAUUUUUUUAUUAAUUUGUGGAUUCAUAUGUUUAUUAUUAAUUUCGUUUACUGUUUUUAUUACCGAUAUAUUAUUUCCGUUAUGUUCGUUUUUUUUUAAUGUUUUUAAGUUCUUUUCAUUAGUUGGUAAAGGAUGGGAAGUAACUAAUUCAUCUGUUAGAUGAUAUUUUUUUAUUCCUUCCAUGUCGUUAGCUUUUAUCACUUCUAUAUGUUCAACUUUAAUCACAUUCUCUUUUUGCAAAGUGAAUAAUUUAUCUUUUACAUCAUUUACAUUUUUUACAUCAUUUACAUCAUUUACAUCUUUUACAUCUUUUACAUCUUUUACAUCUUUUACAUCUUUUACAUCAUUUACAUUUUUUACAUCAUUUACAUUUUUUACAUCUUUUACAUCAUUUACAUUUUUUACAUCAUUUACAUCUUUUACAUCAUUUACAUUUUUUACAUUUUUUACAACUUUUACAAACUCAGGAAACUGUUCAUGUAAAAAAUCACCUAAAGUGUUUAUAUGAACACUUGUUAUAGCAUUAGAUUUAUUGUUUUCAUAUUUUAUUUUAAAUAAAGGAUAUUUUGUUUGUAUUUUAUUAUAUGGU
rnacentral:lncRNA from 1 species